UACAGAGGGUGCGAGCGUUUAAUCGGAAUUACUGGGCGUAAAGCGCGCGUAGGCGGUUUUGCAAGUCGGGUGUGAAAUCCUCAGGCUUAACCUGGGAACUGCAUUCGAGACUGCAUUACUAGAGUAUGGGAGAGGGAAGUGGAAUUUCCGGUGUAGCGGUGAAAUGCGUAGAUAUCGGAAGGAACAUCAGUGGCGAAAGCGACUUCCUGGACCAAUACUGACGCUCAUGUGCGAAAGCGUGGGGAGCAAACAGG
rnacentral:rRNA from 1 species